CGCGUAGGCGGUCUUAUAAGUUGGAUGUGAAAUCCCUGGGCUUAACCUAGGAACUGCAUUCAGUACUGUAAGACUAGAGUAUUGUAGAGGGUAGUGGAAUUUCCGGUGUAGCGGUGAAAUGCGUAGAGAUCGGAAGGAACACCAGUGGCGAAGGCGGCUACCUGGACAAAUACUGACGCUGAGGCGCGAAAGCGUGGGGAGCAAACAGGAUUAGAUACCCUGGUAGUCCACGCUGUAAACGAUGAGAACUAGAUGUUGGCAGGCAUGACCUGUUAGUAUCGAAGCUAACGCGAUAAGUUCUCCGCCUGGGGAGUACGGCCGCAAGGCUAAA
rnacentral:rRNA from 1 species